AGUGAACGCUGGCGGCAGGCCUAAUACAUGCAAGUCGAACGGCAGCACAGUGGAGCUUGCUCCAUGGGUGGCGAGUGGCGGACGGGUGAGGAAUACAUGGGAAUCUGCCCAGUCGUGGGGGAUAACGUAGGGAGACUUACGCUAAUACCGCAUGCGCCCUUCGGGGGAAAGCCGGGGACCUUCGGGCCUGGCGCGAUUGGAUGAGCCCAUGUUCGAUUAGCUAGUUGGCGGGGUAAAGGCCCACCAAGGCGACGAUCGAUAGCUGGUCUGAGAGGAUGAUCAGCCACACUGGGACUGAGACACGGCCCAGACUCCUACGGGAGGUAGCAGUAGGGAAUAUUGGACAAUGGGCGCAAGCCUGAUCCAGCCAUGCCGCGUGAGUGAAGAAGGCCCUCGGGUUGUAAAGCUCUUUUGUCCGGGAAGAAAAGCAUCGGGCUAAUACCUCGGUGUUCUGACGGUACCGGAAGAAUAAGCACCGGCUAACUUCGUG
rnacentral:rRNA from 1 species